rnacentral:rRNA from 1 species
GACGUAGGAGGCGAGCGUUAUCCGGAUUCACUGGGCGUAAAGCGCAUGUAGGCGGUUGCACAAGUCCGUUGUUAAAGCCCCUGGCUCAACUGGGGGAGGUCAAUGGAGACUGUGCGACUUGAGGGCAAUAGAGGCACGUGGAACUCCCGGUGUAGCGGUGGAAUGCGUAGAGAGUCGGGAAGAACACCAGUGGCGAAGGCGACGUGCUGGGUUGCACCUGACGCUGAGAUGCGAAAGUGUGGGGAGCAAACGGG